rnacentral:tRNA from 1 species
GGGCCAGUAGCUCAGCUUGGAUAGAGCGACUGUUAUCUAAGCUGUAGGUCGAGGGUUCGAAUCCCUUCUGGCCCG